rnacentral:rRNA from 1 species
GCUUUUAGUGUUUGUUAUUAGAGGUGAUUUCUGCCCGGUGAAUAAGUUUAUUUAAACGGCCGCGGUACUUUGACCGUGCAAAGGUAGCGUAAUCAUUUGCCCUUUUAUUGAGGGCCUGUAUGAAGGAAAAGACGUAGUUUUAACUGUCUCUUUUUUUAAUUUGGAAUUUGUUGUUUUUGUGAAGAAGCAAGAGUAGAGGAAAAAGACAAGAAGACCCUAUUAAGUUUUAUUUUUAUUAUGAGAAAAAUGGUGUUAGGUUGUAGAGUUUUUUUUGUGAGUGGAAUUUAGUUGGGGUGACUUGAGAAGAGAAAAUCUUCUUUUAUGAUAAAAAACGAUUUGUUAGUGAGAAGAGCCAAAGAGUUUUGAUAAAUAGAUUAAAUUACUAUAGGGGUAACAGCGUAAUUCUUUCUGAGAGUUCUAAUUGAAGAGAGAGAUUGCGACCUCGAUGUUGACUUGUUGUUUCCUCUAGGUGCAGUAGCUGGGAGGGUUAGUCUGUUCGACUAUUAAAACAAUACGUGAGUUGAGUUCAGACCGGUGUGA